GAUGAACGCUGGCGGCGUGCCUAAUACAUGCAAGUCGAGCGAACGGACGAGAAGCUUGCUUCUCUGAUGUUAGCGGCGGACGGGUGAGUAACACGUGGAUAACCUACCUAUAAGACUGGGAUAACUUCGGGAAACCGUAGCUAAUACCUGAUAAUAUUUUGAACCGCAUGGUUCAAAAGUGAAAGACGGUCUUGCUGUCACUUAUAGAUGGAUCCGCGCUGCAUUAGCUAGUUGGUAAGGUAACGGCUUACCAAGGCAACGAUGCAUAGCCGACCUGAGAGGGUGAUCGGCCACACUGGAACUGAGACACGGUCCAGACUCCUACGGGAGGCAGCAGUAGGGAAUCUUCCGCAAUGGGCGAAAGCCUGACGGAGCAACGCCGCGUGAGUGAUGAAGGUCUUCGGAUCGUAAAACUCUGUUAUUAGGGAAGAACAUAUGUGUAAGUAACUGUGCACAUCCUGACGGUACCUAAUCAGAAAGCCACGGCUAACUACGUG
rnacentral:rRNA from 1 species